rnacentral:rRNA from 1 species
GUGGGGAAUCUUGCACAAUGGGGGAAACCCUGAUGCAGCGACGCCGCGUGAGCGAUGAAGCCCUUCGGGGUGUAAAGCUCUUUCGGCAGGAACGAUAAUGACGGUACCUGAAGAAGAAGCUGCGGCUAACUACGUGCCAGCAGCCGCGGUAAUACGUAGGCAGCAAGCGUUGUUCGGAGUUACUGGGCGUAAAGAGUGUGUAGGCGGUUUCGUAAGUUUGGUGUGAAAUCUCCCGGCUUAACUGGGAGGGUGCGCCGAAUACUGCGAGGCUUGAGUGCCGGAGAGGUAAGCGGAAUUCCUGGUGUAGCGGUGAAAUGCGUAGAUAUCAGGAGGAACACCGGUGGUGUAGACGGCUUACUGGACGGCCACUGACGCUGAGACACGAAAGCGUGGGUAGCAAACAGGAUUAGAUACCCCUGUAGUCC